AUACGUAGGGGGCGAGCGUUGUCCGGAAUGAUUGGGCGUAAAGGGCGCGUAGGCGGCGCGGUAAGUCUGGAGUGAAAGUCCUGCUUUCAAGGUGGGAAUUGCUUUGGAUACUGCCGCGCUUGAGUGCAGGAGAGGUUAUCGGAAUUCCCGGUGUAGCGGUGAAAUGCGUAGAGAUCGGGAGGAACACCAGUGGCGAAGGCGGGUAACUGGACUGCAACUGACGCUGAGGCGCGAAAGGGUGGGGAGCAAACAGGAUUAGAUACCCUGGUAGUCCACACUGUAAACGAUGAAUGCUAGGUGUAGGGGGUAUCGACCCCUUCUGUGCCGCAGUCAACACAAUAAGCAUUCCGCCUGGGGAGUACGGCCGCAAGGUUGAAACUCAAAUGAAUUGACGGGG
rnacentral:rRNA from 1 species